UAGCUGCCACGGUUUGUUGCUU
rnacentral:miRNA from 1 species